AGAGUUUGAUCAUGGCUCAGGAUGAACGCUAGCGGCAGGCUUAACACAUGCAAGUCGAGGGGUAAAAGGAGCUUGCUCCUUUGAGACCGGCGCACGGGUGCGUAACGCGUAUGCAAUCUACCUUGUACAGGGGGAUAGCCCAGAGAAAUUUGGAUUAAUACCCCAUAGUGUAACGAAAAGGCAUCUUUUUGUUACUAAAGUUCCAACGGUACAAGAUGAGCAUGCGUCCCAUUAGCUAGUUGGUGUGGUAACGGCAUACCAAGGCAACGAUGGGUAGGGGUCCUGAGAGGGAGAUCCCCCACACUGGUACUGAGACACGGACCAGACUCCUACGGGAGGCAGCAGUGAGGAGUAUUGGUCAAUGGGCGCAAGCCUGAACCAGCCAUGCCGCGUGCAGGAUGACGGUCCUAUGGAUUGUAAACUGCUUUUGUACAGGAAGAAACACUCCCUCGUGAGGGAGCUUGACGGUACUGUAAGAAUAAGGAUCGGCUAACUCCGUGCCAGCAGCCGCGGUAAUACGGAGGAUCCAAGCGUUAUCCGGAAUCAUUGGGUUUAAAGGGUCCGUAGGCGGUUUUAUAAGUCAGUGGUGAAAUCUGGUCGCUCAACGAUCAAACGGCCAUUGAUACUGUAGAACUUGAAUUACUUGGAAGUAACUAGAAUAUGUAGUGUAGCGGUGAAAUGCUUAGAGAUUACAUGGAAUACCAAUUGCGAAGGCAGGUUACUACGAGUAUAUUGACGCUGAUGGACGAAAGCGUGGGGAGCGAACAGGAUUAGAUACCCUGGUAGUCCACGCCGUAAGCGAUGGAUACUAGCUGUUUGGAGCAAUCUGAGUGGCUAAGCGAAAGUGAUAAGUAUCCCACCUGGGGAGUACGCUCGCAAGAGUGAAACUCAAGGAAUUGACGG
rnacentral:rRNA from 1 species